CCUGAGGUUGUUUUCUAUUCACAUUGUCAAAGAAACAAUUCAACAAAGAGGUAGCUCAACCCAUGAAUUAUAACUGAUGAGGAGCUCAGAGCAAAUGGACAGUCU
rnacentral:lncRNA from 1 species